AUUUUGAAGUGUCGGCUUUGCAUUGGAUUUUCCCAUCUUUGCUGGUGAAUCCGACAAUCUAGAGGAAGACAUCAAAAGAAGGCUUUUGAAUGCUUUGGAAACAAUUUCUCCAAGAAGCAGAUGAAUUUACUGACAAACGUAAUCCCCCAAAGCAGUUGUUAGGGCUGGCAUCCAAACAUUCUUGAGCCAUGGAAACCAAAAGUGGUAUGUUUUGCUUAACACCUACUUUGAACAGAAUUUUACCAAGGGAAAAAAUAUCACUGGCUUCAUUAAUUCUUUGCAGGAGGAAAGGAGCUGUCGCAUGCUUUUCCAAAAUCAAUGAUGUAGCCAUGUUUGUUACUCACAAGAAAAUUAUUAGCCUUCAAAUCACAGUGAAGAAAGCCUUUUGUGUGAAUAUGUGAAAGGGCUUCUGUCAAAUCAUGUGAAAUAAUUAACCAGUCAUUUGUUAUGAGUUAGCUUUGCACAUUCUGUAUUGUUGCACUGUUUUUCUGACAAGACAAUAGUUUGCUUAUUGUUACAGAUGUAUUGUCUUCCCCUUUAAACUCCAUUAUUAAGGAAAUGGGCUGCUUUUGAAGCUGCACACCUAUUAUGGUUGGGAUAUUUUUAUGUGCAAGUGCCUGCAUAAUGUGAGCCUCCUUCAUUAUCUCUGUGGUGUCCUGCAUCAGAGACUGUUUUUCCACAACCUUUAUAUCAAAUCGUGUGUACUGUCUCAGAAGGCAUCAACCAUAGCAUCCUUCUCCCAGUAUUAUAUUCUCUCCAUUGGUUGGAAGAAGUUCAGUAUGAUUGAUUAAGUUUACAAUGGAUUAUUUGGUACUUGCAUUCCUUUUAAAAAACUGGAAAAUGAAGGCAAAUAUAUUGUAGAGAGUGUGCUUAAAUAAAUGCUAGAUUGCAACACAAGUAAAAGUGAAGCUUGUUGAUCUCAUUGUUUGGCAUGCAAAUUACUGCAAAGUAACUAGAAACAUUACUCCUCCUCCAGAUAGACUAGACAUUAGCAUUGGAUUUUAUUUUUUUCUUGGCGUGCUCUCCCUCGACGCUGCUGCUUUUUCUCAAUUGCGUCUUUCUUUUUUUGGAGCUGAAGUUCCUUCACUUUUGUUUGUGCUUCAGCAAAGCUUAUUUUAAAUAUUUUCUCAAAGUGGCCAUUCACUUUUGAAUAAAUGUGUU